CUCAAAGGGUCAAAGACACCCUGAUUUAGAAAGGGUUCUUUCAUUUUUCUAAUUCUGAGUCACUUUCUAGUUUUUUUCUCUUUCUCUCUCUAAACUCAGUUUUCUUCCUUCCUUCUCUGUCUUCUCUCUACCCUUACACUCAUUUGAACCGUUGAAAUUUCGAUUAGGUGGUAUUCUUUCGCUCACGGAGUUGAGGGCUUCCUAUCCAUCUGAUUAGUUUUCGAUUUGGACGGGUGGUUGUAGGACACUGUUUGGGUUUUCUCUGUGAAGGCACUGUUAGGGCACUCUAGUUGGCUAUAUUGCUCAACUUCAAGAAGGCGAAGCCACUUUGGAGGACGUGAUUGAAGAAGAAAACCUGAUUGAAGUGGAAGUCAAAGUCGAGCCUUAGAGCGCUCGUUCAUAUUAGAAGUUUAGACGUUAGCUUUUAUUUUGACGUUCGGUUGAUUGUUUUGUAAAGCCGUUCGUUCUAGACUUUCACUGUUCCAGCAUUGUGUAUUUCAGUUCUGUAUUUAAGCCGUUCGGCUUUUGAAAUUCGUUCUUUUAAUGUAAAGACUACAUUGUUUUACUGUUAAAUGUAAUUAAUUCUGA